rnacentral:rRNA from 1 species
UACGAAGGGUGCAAGCGUUACUCGGAAUUACUGGGCGUAAAGCGUGCGUAGGUGGUUUGUUAAGUCUGUUGUGAAAGCCCCGGGCUCAACCUGGGAAUGGCAAUGGAUACUGGCAGGCUAGAGUGCGGUAGAGGGUAGUGGAAUUCCCGGUGUAGCGGUGAAAUGCGUAGAGAUCGGGAGGAACACCAGUGGCGAAGGCGGCUCGCUGGCCUAAAACUGACGCUGAGGCGCGAAAGCGUGGGGAGCAAACAGG